rnacentral:lncRNA from 1 species
GGAAGCUGUGGAGACUACCACAUGGACUCGUCUAGAUUUCACAUGCAACAUGGCUCUGCCUUCCCUGAGCACUCUGGGCCUUUCCAUGGAGACAGAAUGAAUAGAUAACGGUGAGUGGGGGGGAGCUAUAUUAAUUCUGAGAUUCCAGGAGGGGAUGAGGAAGAUCAAAUCAACAGCUGUGGAUACUUAAGAACACUUUAUUCAAGAAUCUGGAAUUUACCUAAUGCUCACGAUAGGACAAAAAUGACUCUAUUUCCAAAACUAGGUGAUUAUGGAUUGAAA